rnacentral:rRNA from 1 species
GACGAACGCUGGCGGCGUGCUUAACACAUGCAAGUCGAGCGAGUGGCGGACGGGUGAGUAAUGUCUGGGAAACUGCCCGAUGGAGGGGGAUAACUACCGGAAACGGUAGCUAAUACCGCAUACCAUCGGAUGUGCCCAGAUGGGAUUAGCUAGUGGGUGGGGUAACGGCCCACCUAGGCGACGAUCCCUAGCUGGUCUGAGAGGAUGACCAGCAAAACUGGAACUGAGACACGGUCCAGACGCCUACGGGAGGCAGCAGUGGGGAAUAUUGCACAAUGGGCGCAAGCCGGAUGAAGCCAUGCCGCGUGUAGGAAGAAGGCCUGCGGGUUGUAAAGUACUUUCAGCGAGGAGGCGGUACUCGCAGAAGAAGCAUCGGCUAACUCCGUGCCAGCAGCCGCGGUAAUAC